rnacentral:misc_RNA from 1 species
GAGAAGGAAAGAAGAAGGAAGGGAAAAGGGAGAAAAAAAAAGGGAAAAUAAUUUUAAGAAGGACUAAAAAAAACCGUAAUGGAGUAUGUCCUCAUUCUGCAUGUACUUAGUUAUUUAGUGCGUGGAGAUGGGAAGAGGCGACGGAGAGUGUGAGGGAGGGAAGGGGAUGGAAGGAAAGAAGGAAACGAGAGCUAGAUAGAGACUUGGAAGGGAGAAUGGAAUAUUUGAGGGAGGAAGGAAGGACUUAGAAGGGAAGAAUAUCCCAAAUAACUAAGUACUACGUACUAAUACAUACGGGAUAGAAAGAGAGAAAAAGAGGAUUUUGAUAUUGAAGAAGAGAGCGGCUCCUCAUCAAGUGAGACGACGAUGCGGACUUCCCUAACGAACUGCACCUCUCAUCUAAUCCAAGAUGGCGAUUUGCCGCAGAUCGAGAUUCCCAAUGAGUCUGAUCAGCGUUUCAGCGUACUUUCCUUUGAGCAAGUGAAGCGACUGAGUGACUUGAUGCGAAGUGUGAUCCCCAUUCACGGACGUGGCAACUUUCCCACCAUUGACGUGAAACUCUGCGAUCUCGUGACCAAAGUACGAUGGAAGUUGGAAACUGACUACAAUAUCCACGUCAAAGACAUUCGUUUGAACGGAUCUCGAGCCUCAUCCGUCCUUGUGGACGAACUUAUAUCCUAUAACGAUUUGGAUCUCAUUUUUUCUGUGGAUCUGCCUAACAAUAAGGCGUAUGAUCGUGUCAAAAUGGCUGUUCUUGAUACACUUAUUGAACUUUUACCUGAGGGAGUAUCGCGGAAACGGAUGUCUUCAUGCUCAAUGAAGGAGGCGUAUGUCUCAAAAAUGGUGAAGGUAAACGACUCUGACCGAUGGUCUCUUAUUACUCUGGGAAACAGCCGUAGCAAAACUGUGGAGCUCAAAUUCGUAGAUUCCAUGAAAAGACAAUAUGAGUUUUCCGUGGAUUCCUUUCAUAUACUCUUAGAUACACUCUUCCUGUUCUAUCAGUGUGCUCCAUCGAUGGAAAUCAGUGAAAAUUUUUAUCCCACUGUUGUGGGGGAAAGCAAGUACAAUGAUUUUUCUGAUGCAUUGACGCAUCUCUGUAAGAAGCUCAUCGCAACCAGGAAUCCGGAGGAAAUUAGAGGUGGAGGUUUGCUCAAAUAUUGCUCUUUACUGGUUCGCAAUUACAAGCCUGUGCGAGCGGAUGAAGUCAAGUCUAUGGAACGAUACAUGUGCUCACGAUUCUUCAUUGACUUCCCGGAUAUUAGUCAGCAACAAGCGAAAUUGGAAAAUUACUUGUGGAAUCAUUUUGCAAGCACUGAAGACCCACAAAUCAAAUACGACUACCUCAUAAUUUUGUACCAGGUAGUCAACGAGAGUACAGUUUGCUUAAUGAAUCAUGAAAGGAGACUCACUCUUUCUCUUAUCGAAGACUUGGCCAUGUCCAUAUAUAACAACUCUCAGAUUGAUUAUUCUGACAACAGUGAUACUUGCUCGACUACAUCAUCUUCCUCCAAUUGUAGUCUAAAACAACUCUCGAUUCCUCAUCCACCUCCGACAUCAUCUCCUUCACCUACGCAGCUUCAGCCUUCCACCAAUGGAACCACCAUGAUUCCCACUUAUGAAAUUGUUACUUCUGUUCAACCUACGGUCUAUUAUUCAUCUAAUAAUGGAUACUAUUUUGUAAGUUCAGCUUCUCCUCCUUUGCAGUCAACGGGUCCCUGCAUGACCUGUUCCUGCAAUCAAUGGGCUAACACCAUCACCGUUACCAAUGGUCAGCAACAAAGUAGUAAUCCUGUAUGCUCUUAGAGUAAGCAACCUAUUAUCUUAAUAAGGACACUUAUGGUUGUGCAAAAUUAAGAUACAAAAUACUGUAGUUAUAUAAUUAAAUGAAUCAACAACGAAAUUCAUUUCGUUUAAAAAAAUUUUAUCAAGAAUUCAUUGGAUAAUGAUACUUUCGUGUAAUCAUGAUCAGAAAAGAAAAAAUGAAAGAAAUAACACAAAAAAAAAAAAAAAAAAACACAAAAAAAUGUAGUCCUCUUUAGAUUUACUUUAUCAGAAGUACGUGAAUUUCUAUCAACGUGAAUGCUGCAAGCGCUAUAGACCAUAGCAGUUUUAGACGAUUCUGGAAACCGAGAAAUUGAGGCUUGGUAAUACAAUUGACCCACUUUGUUAUUCUCCCCAUUUGCUGCUGCCUCUCGGUUUCUUAUUCUUGCCUUUAUUCUCACAUGUGUAUGUGUGUCUCCCUCUGUUCGGCUUGGAUUCACGUCAGUUAAUACCUACCACUCUUAAUUAUAUUUCAUUCCAAAAUUUUACAGAAGGAGAAAAGAGAGGAAAUACUCCUAAAUAAUUUUAGCUUUUCUACGCGGAAAAAAAAAAUAAUUAUUUUAAAAGUUAUCUUUAACGAAAAAAUUGUAGUGUUACAAAAAAAAAAAAAAAAAAUAUUAAACCCAAAAAUAUAUUUACCCUCAUAAGAAGCAUAGAAAAAUUAUUUUAAAAAGUUGAACUGUGAUAAGACUACUUGGGUCCAGUUGGUUUGAUAACAAAAGAAAAAAGGAACAUAACGUGAAUUUUAUUAUUAUAAUUUCUUCUUCUGUAACAAAUAAUAAUGUAAAUGUGUAUGGAAUCAAAAAGAAAAAAAUUAUAAGCAUAUAUCAAAUCUUGAAAAUCAAUCUCUUCAUAGUUAUUAAAAAAUUAAAUACUAACUAAAUAAAGGAAUUAGUCUAUUUUAUCUGUAAUUACAUAGCACUGACAAAAUAAUCAUUACUAAAUCGUAUUGCUGAAUUACACUGUAACCCACUACAUCACAAAAAAUAUGUUUAUAUUGUGUGAAUGGCAUUUCUCUUUAAUUGAUCUCAAUGUCAAUUUUUGCAUAUUUUUUAUUAUUAAUUGUUCAAAGAUUAUUUACGAUAUAUCAUUGCUAUGUUGUUUAGACAUGAAAUAAGUAACUUCCUUCUUCCAAAUACUUUUCGUAAUACAAAUUAAUAAAAGUUGAGAUUUUUGUAGUAUGAA